rnacentral:snRNA from 1 species
GGAUGUGAAGGCAAUCUGGCUGCGACAUCUUUCGCCCUGUUGAUUGCCAGGGUUGAUCAGGCUGAUCUGGCUGGUUAGGCAGGUGUCCCCUUGUUCCCUCAGUGCUCCAUGUGAGUCCCUUCUGAAGCUGUGCGCUGGGUUGAAGAGGAUGACCGUUCCUGUUAGAAGAGGAUCGUUCUUUGGUCUAGGGUAGCUAGCUGUGUUCCCCCUCCAGACAUGCUCUCAAAAAUUAUGUUAGGAAUAAUUGUUUAUCUCAGAACCCAAGACUAUUCCUU